UAGGGAAUCUUCCGCAAUGGACGAAAGUCUGACGGAGCAACGCCGCGUGAGUGAUGAAGGUUUUCGGAUCGUAAAGCUCUGUUGCCAGGGAAGAACGUCCGGUAGAGUAACUGCUACCGGAGUGACGGUACCUGAGAAGAAAGCCCCGGCUAACUACGUGCCAGCAGCCGCGGUAAUACGUAGGGGGCAAGCGUUGUCCGGAAUUAUUGGGCGUAAAGCGCGCGCAGGCGGUCACUUAAGUCUGGUGUUUAAGGCCAAGGCUCAACCUUGGUUCGCACUGGAAACUGGGGCGACUUGAGUGCAGAAGAGGAGAGUGGAAUUCCACGUGUAGCGGUGAAAUGCGUAGAUAUGUGGAGGAACACCAGUGGCGAAGGCGACUCUCUGGGCUGUAACUGACGCUGAGGCGCGAAAGCGUGGGGAGCAAACAGGAUU
rnacentral:rRNA from 1 species